UGUCCCUCCAUAUACUUCCCACCAUGACCAGUCCAAAGCAGUGGGGUCCACUGACUGGGAGCUGCAGCCUGGGAAAGUGUGAGACAAAAAUAAACCUUUCUCUUUGAAGUUGAUUGUAUCAGACAGGAACAGUCCUGUGACCAGUUUCAGACAAACACCCUUCUGUACAUUCAAGUGAAAUAUCCAGUGUACUGAGGAGCCAUACCAUGGAAUGAAUGCCCUGGUCCCCAUCAAUGAAAAGACUGACUGAGUUCUCCAGAGAGUUUGGAGUCUCUGCAUUUGAAACUGCUGCCACAUACAAAAUGAAGUUCUCCAUAGACAAGUCUGGCCUUUGACCUUGGGCCCUGGGGAGGAUCUAGAACAUUCUACCUCACAGGAGUCUCUUUGCUGGUGGUUCAGUGCUGGAUCAUCUAACGUGGAUUAAGAGUGCUUGGACAAUGAACCAAGGAGGACAGAGGAAGAAAAUCUUUCUUCCCUACAGGUGUUAGCUCCAGUCUGGAAUGCUGAAGACUGAAGGUCAGCCACACACAGAUCAUGUGACACCAAAGCGUCAAGUGAACCUCCGGGUUGGGAGUGAUCCCUGCACAUUGUCACAUAGGAGAGUGGCAGGUACCCAAAGAGCAGCAAGUCCUGGCUCUGUGGGGGAGCACAGGAAGCCUGUGUCCAUCUCUUCUGGAUAUACCCAGUGUGCUUCUUCUAUUGACUGGCCUUCAUCUGUGCCGUUC